rnacentral:rRNA from 1 species
UACGUAGGGGCAAGCGUUGUCCGGAAUCAUUGGGCGUAAAGCGCGUGUAGGCGGCCCGGUAAGUCCGCUGUGAAAGUCGGGGGCUCAACCCUCGGAUGCCGGUGGAUACUGUCGGGCUAGAGUCCGGGAGAGGUGAGUGGAAUUCCUAGUGUAGAGGUGAAAUUCGUAGAUAUUAGGAAGAACACCAGUGGCGAAGGCGGCUCACUGGCCCGGUACUGACGCUGAGGCGCGAAAGCGUGGGGAGCAAACAG